AGCACUCUUGUAACUCUACUUUUGAUCUCAAUGAGAACCUAAUAGAAAAACUCUUUCAUAAAAAAAUUGAUAUUUUAUGUUUCUAGUGUGUGUGGCACACUUUAUCUCAAUAUUCUGGAAGGUUGUAAAAAAGGGAAUUACCUUUUCUUAUGUAUAAUUUUAUUAAUUAAGCCUUGCAUUCUAAAUCCGCUCCUAGCUUUAUGGCAUCCCUUUUUUUCAUAUUAUUUGUCUGUUUUUUUUUUCAUAGACUCGGUUGUUCAGUGCCUUUUUUUCUUUUAACUUUUUGUUAUUUUCAUUUUAAGAUAUAUUGUGUGGCUUCUAAAUUUACAAACACACCUUGGUACUACUACUACAUCUUUUCUCUCUCUUUCUCUUGUACUCUGCUUAAAGAAGAUUAGCUUUGUUGAAGAAAGGACCUUUUCCUUUUCUGAUCUUUUAUUUCAGAUCAGAUUUUUUGUUAGUCAAUGCUCAAAAGGAGGAGACAAUAUUGAUCAUCUAUAUAAACUCUUCUUUGAGACCAUUGAAUCUAAAUCUACAAGAUUAUUUGUGGUAAUAAUCUCAUUAUGUUCUUUUUCUUAGUAAAUUCUUUUCUCUAUUUUUUUUCUCAUCAAAUUCUAUAAAUGAAUUAUAGGCUUGUACCGAAUUUGAUUUUGAUCACAAUUAUGCUUAAUCUAUUUGAUCAAAUGCUUACAUGAAAAUUAUGAGUAAGUCUUUUUUUAUUUAUAUUUUUGAAAUAAAUUAGAGAGUGAUCUGAAUUUUUAAGAAAACCACAGAAAUGUGAUAUUUGGAAGGUCUUUGAGUUGCGUCAAAAUUUUUUGGGGUUUGUUUAGAUCUUAGGACAUGGGUUUUUUAUUUUAUUUUCAUGGAGCUUGGUUGCUUAACAAUGGAGGUUGGGCUCACUUGGCCCAGUCCAAGGACCUUGUACUUCUAAUUUUCAUGGAGCUUUGUUGUUUUUAUAUAUGGAGUUGGGGUUUACUUGGUAUAGUCCAAGGAUAUAAAAAAGUUGCCUGAGGCUGAUAGUUUGGACAAUCACAUUUCAUUUCAGAUUAUGGGACUAGUAAUGAUAUGAAAAAGGUUCUCGUUCACAUAAUUAAAUAGUUGGGGAUAUUGUGUCAAUGAUCUUUUCUCAUACACUUAUUAUGGCAUUUAUUGUCAAUUGUUCAGAACCAAUGAAGAGAAACUCAGUCACAGCAAUGGCUUAGUUUUUUGAUACAAAGCUGAGAUGAGUCACCUUAUUAAGUCAAAAAACCAUGGAUCAA